rnacentral:misc_RNA from 1 species
AACCACAAGUCCACCAAGUUGUGUAAUUGUAAGGUUGGAAGUACUGCUUGUCCCCGGCAGAUUAUCUCCACCUCAGCCUCGCUAGCCAGAUCAAGUUUUUUUACAAGAUACUUCUGAAUGAACGAGACAGGCAUUUUACCAUCCUUAAUCCUCAGAUAACAUGCAGAUAUCUGUGGCAAGGAAGCAUUUCCUUUCUGGUCUUUGGAGGCAACUAAUGAGAACCAAAUUGGACAAUUUCUUCUGUUGCUCUUAGCACCUGCCGCAUUGAGCAUGACUUGUGCUGAGGCACUGAGCUCUUCAGCCAUAGCUGCCCUUUUCCGUGCUGUCAAUCUUCUACGCUUGACUGAUGCAUGAAGUGAAUUUAUCCCAUUCUUAACAUCUUGGACUUUCAUAUCCUGUCCGUGCUCCUUAUUUCUGCUUUUAGGCAUAUAUACUUCACUGUCAUGACCAUUGGGAGAUUCUGCUCCAGACUUCGUUACAGGUGACUGGAAUUCCCCACCGGGUGCACUAAGUGGUUCUGAUUUGGCAAGAGACAAACCUUGCAAAUUUGACUUAGAGGACUUGCUUCUGUUAGCAGCUUCAAC